rnacentral:rRNA from 1 species
AACGAACGCUGGCGGCAGGCUUAACACAUGCAAGUCGAACGCAUCCUUCGGGGUGAGUGGCAGACGGGUGAGUAACGCGUGGGAACGUGCCCUUCAGUUCGGGAUAACCCGGGGAAACAUGGGCUAAUACCGGAUACGUGCGAGAGCAGAAAGAUUUAUCGCUGAAGGAUCGGCCCGCGUCGGAUUAGCUAGUUGGUGGGGGAAUGGCCCACCAAGGCGACGAUCAGUAGCUGGUCUGAGAGGAUGAUAAGCCACAUUGGUACUGAGACACGGCCCAAACUCCUACGGGAGGCAGCAGUGAGGAAUAUUGGACAAUGGGCGCAAGCCUGAUCCAGCCAUGCCGCGUGAGUGAUUAAGGCCUUAGGGUUGUAAAGCUCUUUCGUCCGGGACGAUAAUGACGGUACCGGAAGAAGAAGCCCCGGCUAACUUCGUGCCAGCCGCCGCGGUAACAC